GUUGGGCGUGAAAGCCCCGUGCUCAACGCGGGGAGGCCGCACAAUACUGUCAGGCUAGAGGGCACCAGAGGGGUGUGGAAUUCCCGGAGUAGCGGUAAAAUGCGCAGAUAUCGGGAGGAACACCGGUGGCGAAAGCGGCACCCUGGGGUGCGCCUGACGCUGAGAGACGACAGCUAGGGGAGCGAACAGGAUUAGAGACCCUGGUAGUCCUAGCCGUAAACGAUGGAUGCUAGGUGUAGGAGUGAAGAGCUUCUGUGCCGCAGCGAACGCGAUAAGCAACCCGCCUGGGGAGUACGGCCGCAAGGUUAAAACUCAAACGAAUUGACGGGGACCCGCACAAGCAGCGGAGCGUGUGGUUUAAUUCGAUGCUACACGAAGAACCUUACCUGGGAUUGACAUAUGGGUGGUAGUGAUCCGAAAGGAGAGCGACCCUUCGGGGAGCCUAUACAGGUGCUGCAUGGCUGUCGUCAGCUCGUGCCGUGAGGUGUCGGGUUAAGUCCCGUAACGAGCGCAACCCUUGUCCUUAGUUACAAGUGUCUAAGGGGACUGCCGGCGGGAAGCCGGAGGAAGGUGGGGAUGACGUCAAGUCAGCAUGGCCCUUAUAUCCAGGGCGACACACACGCUACAAUGGUCGGUACAGAGGGCAGCGAAGCCGCGAGGUGGAGCGAAACCCAGAAAGCCGGUCGUAGUUCGGAUUGCAGGCUGCAACUCGCCUGCAUGAAGUUGGAGUUGCUAGUAACC
rnacentral:rRNA from 1 species